AUGCGGACAUAUGUAUAUGUAUAGCUGAUUCACUUUGUUAUAAAGCAGAAACCAACACACCAUUGUAAAGCAAUUAUACUCCAAUAAAGAUGUUAAAAAAAAAGAUCACCAAAACUUAAACUACAGAAAAUAACAACACUCUGAUAGUCUCAUAACAUGACUUAAUAUGUGUUUUGUUAGAUUCAAGUAUACUGUUUCUCAAUAAUUUCUUAAUUGUGGAAAGAAAGAACAAGCACUAGUAUAGUGUGAGAAAGUGAGUGCAUUUACAUUUCUGAAAACAUUAUGAGGCUUAAUUUAUAUUCGUUUAGGCCCCCAUGGCUACCUUUUCUAAUUCCCUAUUAACAUUAAAAUGUGACAUUAGACCUUUUCUUUGAUAGAGUAAUAAUUACUUUCACGAGGAUUCAUGUUCUCAUGACGUGUGUCUUCUGUACUUAAUUAUCUGUGUUACUUAUAGUUGUGUUUAGGAAACCCAUUGAACUUUUAUUGAUAUUUCACAAUUACCCAAAUAACACAAGCCCGCCUAGCUAGGACCUCUGUCCUCUAUCACACUAACUAAUAACGAUACUCUUCUCACUUGAUAGUUUGGGGUUUAGAUAUAUGUCCACAAAAGAAUACCAUAGUAUGAAAACCACUAUUUCACCAUCCUUUUUGUUUUUCCCCCAGAGGACUUUCAUACAUUUUAAAUAUUUGUUUGAUCAUGGAGAUAAAAUAAAAGGAGUUGGAAAGUUCAUUUACUCCAUGCCUUUGAUUGUGGAGAAUUCUAGGGAACAAGUUCUUGACAGUGUCAUAAAGGGUGUGUGCCUAUGGUGCUUCCAACCUCCUUUGUUAAUAUUCAGUCUUUUCAUCUGCAGUAUAUCUUCAUGAUUGCUCCCAUUUCCAUAAAUACCUUCCUUUUAUCUUUUAUUCACAAUGUUGUAAAUAAAUGAUGAGCAAAGUUUCACUUCUUACAGGGACAGUUGCUACCUUUACAGAUCUGAGACCCAAACACAUAGAAUUUUAGGUAACAUCCAAUAGGUGGGAAAGAUUUGAGAAGAAAGCCUUGAGACCUAUUUUGGAAGUAUGAGGUUGAUGCAAAGUCUCAGUAACUUAAAGUAGGGUGAAUAAUAGCUGUUUAUAGGAUUUCCAAGUAGGUUUCUUUAGUCCAGCAUCUGUGUUAAAUGCACAUUAAUACGUGGGAUGUCGCGGUGAGUUGUCACAAUGAUGGAGGCACUGUUGGCAUUUAAUGCCUAGAGGUCAGUAGUGAUAAAUAUACUCCCAGUGAAAUAAUUGUUGUUUUCAAAAUGACAAAUUGAAACAAAAACAAAUGCAAAACAAAACCUCCUCUAGUAGUUACGAGAGCAGGCUUUGUGUCAGUUAGAUUAGUAUUUGUGUCUUGACCGUGCCACUUGCUAGUUGGGUGACAUUAGUCACUUAACUUUCCAAACAAUCUCAUAUCUGAUUUGCAAGAUGCCAAUAACAGAUUUUUGUGAGUAUUAAAUGAAAUACACAAAGUGUUUAAUUUAGCAUGUGGUACAUAGUGAACACUCAAUAACUAUUACCAUUUAUAGUAUUAUUUUAUUACCUCCCAUAAAAGGAGUCUUUUCAAAAUCUAGUAACUUAAAAUAACACAGUAAGAAGUCUUACUAAAUGGUUAUGAAGAGCAUAUUAAAAUAUUGACUAUAUUUAAGCCAAACAAUAUAAAUAUUCAAUCUAUUUUCCAGCCUAUCUUUGACACAUAAACUGAACUUCAGCUAUAUUAAUCACUUGGUGUUCCAUUAAUAUUCAGUGUUUUCCCUAUGUGAUCUUCCUUUUGUUUGGAAUGCCAUCCCCCAUCUUCUCAGCUUGGCAAUCUCAUAUACAUUUAUUAAAAUGAUUAAAAAUUACCUUUUUCUGGGAAGCUGCCCUCAUACCUGUAUCAGUUACUUCUGAUUGGUAGUGAAAUUACCCAGCAAACCAUGGCUAAGUAAUUAAGGGUAUUGAUUGCAUAAUGUAACAAAAUGUCUAGAGAUUAGCAGGAUAGGAUGCAGGGGCGCCUCAGGGUAGCCCAAUGAUAUGAUUGGAAUUAAUCAUUAAUCAACAGUGGGGUCCAUGUCCAUGUCGUAGGUUCAAGAAGGACUGGGAAAGCAAGCAUAUGGUCUUCCCUGUCUCUAUAGUGGGAAGUGGGAUUUUCAAAAGUGGUAAAAGUAGCUGUCGGGUAGGCAACUAAAAAUAUCUUCUGCAUGCUCUCUUCUCAUCUCAGCCCCUGACCCCGGUUGCCUACAGCAGGAGUUGCUCCAUUUUCAGUGCUCCUUCAACAUACUAGAUACACCUGUAUUAGCACCGACUACACAUUACUGUAAAUAUUUAUUUUUGUCUACCCCUCAGCAAUUUCUGGGUAGAAAUCCUGUUGUCUCCGUCAUUAUGUUCUCGGUGCUUAUUUUGGUUCAUAGUAAGUGAACAUUAGUUAAAUUAAUAAGUUUAAAGUCUUUUUAAAUAGAGAAUAAGAAAUUGUGAUUGAAAAAUAUAUGUAAAAGUCAAAAUAGGGACUUGAGAUAAGUAAAAUUGUAGUCUUUGAAGAGCCCUUAAUAGUUAAAAAACAGCAAAAGGAAUAGGAGAUAUUGCAUCAUCCCUGAAACAGCCAAAGCCUAACCAUCUGCUUCAUAUCUCACUAAGCUUAGAGAUGAGAAAAAAGAUGUGGAAUUUGGUACCCCCUGGGAGAUUGGAUGAGAAUCAUACAGGAUUUAGAGAAUAGAACGUUCAGGGAAAUGUCAAUAAUUUAGGCUAUUUCUUUAACAUUUAAGAAGGAAACCUGUCAAAAUUGUUUCUUUCCUUAAAAAUGUUGUAUAUGAAAUAACUCUGUAGAAUCAUUUCAGUGGGCUUUGGAGAAAGGGAAGGUAAAAAGGAAAUAGAGCAUUGCUAUUGAAAUUUCAGAAAAGAAAACAGAAUUGCAAAGCAUUAGUCUAGUGAUAAUAAAAACUUGAGUCAACUAUGUUGAACGUACCAGUUUUAUUCCACUGAAAAAAUGUAUCCUCUGUCUCUUGCUAAAUAAAGAACCAGGUUUUCACUAUGGGUACUUUUUACCUUUUCUUGGUAAAGAAGCAGUUCCAAACAAGUCUAUGCUGAGUGCUUUACAAUUUUCCAUAUCACUGCCUGAGAAAAACAAGGAGCCAGUGUUAAAUGAUCAAGAAAAAAAAAACGAAAACAACUUUCUCCUUGAAAAUUAAAUGUCAAAUUGAAUUUGAAAUGUUUACAGAGAUACUUUUCAUUUGUUCAUUAUGAUAGAAAUGAUAAAUGAGCAAAGCUUCUUCCUGGGGAAAAUGUACUUCUUAAAAUUUUCAAUUUUGUCUUGGUUUUAUAUAAGGUUCUUGUAAGUAAGAAUUGCCAUUUGCAGCACCAAAAACACUUGGUGCUUAAUAAGACAUAGGAUGAUUGCAAAUUGUGUAGCCAAUAGAAAGCAUACAAAUAUACAAUUAAGUACAAUUUUUUCAUAAUAGAAAGAUAUCACAUUUUUGUACUUUCUCAUCUAAUGAGAAUAAAAACAUGUACACACAUCCAUGUACACCCACACAUGCCCACAGUUCCAAAUUCAUAUAUUUCCCAGUCAGGGGUGUCAUUUAUUUGAGCAUUUAUAGUGAUUUUUAUAAAAUCCUAUCAUGUGAUUCUAGUCAUUAUUACUAGGCUUAGUCCUGUGCAGAUUUAUUUUGACUGUCAUUCAACAUCAAGAGGAAAGGUGUUGGGCUUCCCUGGUGGUGCAGUGGUUGAGAGUCCGCCUGCUGAUGCAGGGGACACAGGUUCGUGCCCCGGUCCGGGAAGAUCCCACAUGCCGCGGAGCGGCUGGGCCUGUGAGCCAUGGCCGCUGAGCCUGUGCGUCCGGAGCCUGUGCUUCGCAACGGGAGAGGCCACAACAGUGAGAGGCCCGCGUACUGC
rnacentral:lncRNA from 1 species